rfam:[Oscillatoria] sp. PCC 6506, WGS project CACA01000000 data, contig: Contig111
GGUUUGCUACGACGUUGGUGACUGCCGAUAAUGUUUUUUUGAUCUAUAACUCUAAACAUUACGGGAGCCUAUUUGUUUCGUCAGCAGUAUACCGGGCUUGUACCCGGAAACUUUAAGACUGAGCUGAGGUGCCCACCUGGUUUAACCAGGUCAAAAGCUGAGGUAAGACGGCGUUGUGGUGAACCU